rnacentral:rRNA from 1 species
GAUGAACGCUGGCGGCGUGCCUAAUACAUGCAAGUCGAGCGAAGCGGGGACGGGUGAGUAACACGUGGAUAACCUCCUAUAAGAAUGGGAUAACUUCGGGAAACCGGAGCUAAACCGGAUACUUAUAGAUGGAUCCGCGCUGCAUUAGCUAGUUGGUAAGGUAACGGCUUACCAAGGCAACGAUCCAUAGCCGACCUGGGAGGGUGAUCGGCAAAACUGGGACUGGGAACAGGGCCAGACUCCUAAGGGAGGGAGCAGUAGGGAAACUUCGGCAAUUGGGGGAACGCCGACCGAGCAAAGCCGGCGUGGGGAAGAAGGGUUUCGGGUCGGAAAGCCCUUUUGAUAAGGAAGCGGUACCUAAUCAGAAAGGCACGGCUAACUACGUGCCAGCAGCCGCGGUAAUUC